UCGGAGCGUAAACUCCUUUUAUCAGGAAAGAAUAAUGACGGUACCUGAUGAAUAAGCACCGGCUAACUCCGUGCCAGCAGCCGCGGUAAUACGGGGGGUGCAAGCGUUACUCGGAAUCACUGGGCGUAAAGGACGCGUAGGCGGAUUAUCAAGUCUUUUGUGAAAUCUAGUGGCUUAACCACUAAACUGCUUAGGAAACUGAUAGUCUAGAGUAGGGGAGAGGUAGAUGGAAUUCUUGGUGUAGGGGUAAAAUCCGUAGAGAUCAAGAAGAAUACCCAUUGCGAAAGCGAUCUGCUGGAACCUAACUGACGCUGAGGCGUGAAAGCGUGGGUAGCAAACAGGAUUAGAUACCCUGGUAGUCCACGCCCUAAACGAUGUAUACUAGUUGUUGCUUUGCUAGUCAAGGCAGUAAUGCAGCUAACGCAUUAAGUAUACCGCCUGGGGAGUACGGUCGCAAGAUUAAAACUCAAAGGAAUAGACGGGGACCCGCACAAGCGGUGGAGCAUGUGGUUUAAUUCGAAGAUACGCGAAGAACCUUACCUGGACUUGACAUCCUAAAAACAUCUAAGAGAUUAGAAAGUGCUAGUUUACUAGAAUUUAGUGACAGGUGCUGCACGGCUGUCGUCAGCUCGUGUCGUGAGAUGUUGGGUUAAGUCCCGCAACGAGCGCAACCCACGUGUUUAGUUGCUAACAGCUCGGCUGAGCACUCUAAACAGACUGCCUUCGUAAGGAGGAGGAAGGUGUGGACGACGUCAAGUCAUCAUGGCCCUUAUGUCCAGGGCGA
rnacentral:rRNA from 1 species